rnacentral:rRNA from 1 species
UAAUACGGAGGAUGCAAGCGUUAUCCGGAUUCAUUGGGUUUAAAGGGUGCGCAGGUGGGAAAAUAAGUCAGUGGUGAAAUACUGCCGCUUAACGGUAGAAUUGCCAUUGAUACUGUUUUUCUUGAGUAUGGUUGAGGUAGGUGGAAUGUGUUGUGUAGCGGUGAAAUGCAUAGAUAUGACACAGAACGCCGAUUGCGAAGGCAGCUUACUAAGCCAUUACUGACGCUGAGGCACGAAAGCGUGGGGAUCAAACAGGAUUAGAUACCCUGGUAGUCCACGCCGUAAACGAUGAUCACUCGCUGUUUGCGAUAUACAGCAAGCGGCUGAGCGAAAGCAUUAAGUGAUCCACCUGGGGAGUACGAUCGCAAGGUUGAAACUCAAAUGAAUUGACGG